GAUGGAGCAAUUGAAAAUCGCAACAAAGGUAAAUUCGGGAAGAUAAAAAGUACAGUUAGCUUGUUUCUUUACCUCCAAAAAUAGAUCUGCUGUGUGCUAUAUUUAUCCAAAAUUAGGGUGCAUGUGACCGGAAUGUAAACCGUGUUAACUUGGAUUAACCUCUCUGGCCAGUGCUGUAGUCACGCUGUCUCUGCCAUCGUACGAGGGUGUUAAUUAUGAUCUGUGUUCCAUGCUCAGGUAGCAUUCCACAUAAGUGUUUCAAAGUGCGUUAACAUCCCUGAAGGGAAAUAGUUGGAAGAAAAAAUUCUGUAUAGUAUAAGUUGCGUUUAAAAGUCUGUAAACAUUCGCAUGUUUUUCUAUGCAUAAUCAUGUAUAAUCUGCCUUUGAUCAUAAAUUACAUGAGACGGAUCUGUAGUCUUUAUAGAAAUAACUUCAUACCUAACAUCACAUGAAAAGAAAGAAAUUUAGUACUUUUAGUUCUUAGUUUAAGGACGGUGGAUGCUUCAUUCCUGUCUCUGAACGGGACAUCCUUAAAUCUGGAGCAGUACCGCAGGCGAAUCUCACUGCUGUCUUAUUCCCCCUGUGUGGUCACCCCCAGUACACGCACCCGUGCGCACACACAGUUGAAUGUUAUAGUUCAGCCCUUUUUCUAUCAGAAACUGUUUUUGUUAUUAAAAAAAAGAAAGAAAGAAAGAAAGGAAGGAAGAAAGAGAGAAAGAGAGAAAGAAAGAAAGGAAAG
rnacentral:lncRNA from 1 species